GAUGAACGCUAGCUACAGGCUUAACACAUGCAAGUCGAGGGGAAACGACAUCGAAAGCUUGCUUUUGAUGGGCGUCGACCGGCGCACGGGUGAGUAACGCGUAUCCAACCUGCCCAUCACUUGGGAAUAACCUUGCGAAAGUAAGACUAAUACCCAAUGAUAUCCCACGAAGGCAUCGGAAUGGGAUUAAAGAUUUAUCGGUGAUGGAUGGGGAUGCGUCUGAUUAGCUUGUUGGCGGGGUAACGGCCCACCAAGGCAACGAUCAGUAGGGGUUCUGAGAGGAAGGUCCCCCACAUUGGAACUGAGACACGGUCCAAACUCCUACGGGAGGCAGCAGUGAGGAAUAUUGGUCAAGGGGCGAGAGCCUGAACCAGCCAAGUAGCGUGCAGGAAGACGGCCCUAUGGGUUGUAAACUGCUUUUAUAAGGGAAUAAAGUGGGUCACGUGUGACUUUUUGCAUGUACCUUAUGAAUAAGGACCGGCUAAUUCCGUG
rnacentral:rRNA from 1 species